rnacentral:rRNA from 1 species
CUUGGUUAAUCCUGCUAGCAGUCAUAUGCUUGUCUCAAAGAUUAAGCCAUGUAUGUGUAAGUAUGAACUAACUUAGACUGUGAAACUGUAAAUGGCUCAUUAAAUCAAUUAUAGUUUGUUUUAUAGUAUCUACUACUUGGAUAACCAUAGUAAUUCUAGUGCUAAUACGUGCAACAAACUUCAACUUUGGAAAGGAUGCAUUUAUUAGAUAAAAAGUCAACACAGGCUUUGCCUAUUGUUUUGAUGAUUCAUGAUAACUUGAUGGAUCACACAACCUUUGUGCCAAUGAUGCAUUAUUCAAAUUUUUAACCUAUUAACUUUUGAUGGUAGGAUAGUGGCCUACUAUGGUGAUGAUGUGUGACAGAGAAUUAGGGUUUGAUUCUAGAAAGGGAGCCUGAGAAAUAGCUACCACAUCUAAAGAAGGUAGCAGGUGCACAAAUUACCUAAUCUUGACAUUAAAAGGUAGUGACAAUAAAUAACAAUAUCAAGCUUUAUAAGUUUAGUAAUUAGAAUGAGUACAAUCUAAAUCCUUCAAUAAGAAUCCAUUUGAGGGUAAGUUUGGUGUCAACAACCAUGGUAAUUGCAGCUCUGAUAGUGUACAUUUAAGUUAUUAUAGUUAAAAAGCUCAUAGUUGAACUAUGGUUGGGUCAUUUAGUCUACCUUACAAUAAGCAUCAGUCUACCCAUCGCUACUACAUGUGAUGCACUCCAAGCAUUAACUGGUCAAGUUAUUCUUUCAAUGUUAUUGCUUUAAAGAAAUUAGAGUGCUCAAAGCAGGCCUACUUUUAUAUACAUUAGCAUAAGAUAACAUCAUAGGAUUUCAGUCCUAUUAUGUUGGCCUUCAGGAUUGGAGUAAUGAUUAAUAGAGAUAUUUAGGGCAUUUGUAUUUCAUAGUUAGAGGUGAAAUUCUUGGAUUUAUGAAAAAUGACCAACUAUGAAAGCAUUAGCCAAAGAUGUUUUCAUUAAUCAAUAAUGAAAGUUGAGGGCUUGAAGAUGAUCAAAUAUCAUCUUAGACUCAACCAUAAGUAAUGUCGACCAGGGAUUAGUAGAUGUUACUUUUAGGACUCCAUUGGCACCUUAAGAGAAAUCAAAGUCUUUGCGAUUCAAGGGGAGUAUGGUCACAAGGCUGAAAGUCAAAAGAAUUAACAGAAGGGACCACUAAGAGUGAAGCCUAUAGCUUAAUUUUACUCAACAUGGGGAAACUGACUAAGUCUAGACAUAGUAAGGACUUACAAAUUGAGAGCUCUAUCUUGAAUCUAUGGGUGGUGGUGCAUGAUCGUUCCUAGUUGGUAUAGCAAUUUGUCUAGUUAAUUCCAUCAAUGAAUGAGACCUUAGCUUGCUAACUAGCCACGCUGAGGUGAUCCUUCAAGAUUAACUUCUUAGAGGAACUAUGGCCCCUUAGGCCAAGGAAGUUUAUGGCAAUAAUAGGUAUGUGAUGCCCUUAGAUGUUUUAGGCUGCACAUAUGCUACAUUGAUGUAUUCAAUGAGUCUAUAGCCUUGGUCGAUAGGCUUAGGUAAUCUUUGAAAUUACAUCAUGAUAGAGAUAGAUCAUUACAAUUUUUGGUCUUUAACGAGAAUUCCUAAUCGGUGUAAACCAUCAAUUGGCAUUGACUACGUCCCUGCCCUUUGUACACACCAACUGUCAUUUCUAUUGAUUGAAUGGUCUAGUGAAGAGUUCGGAUCAUGGUGACAUGGAUGAUUCACUACUUGUGAUGUCGUAAGAAGUUCACUAAACUUUGUCAUUUAGAGGAAAGAGAAAUCGUAACAAGGUUUUUGUAGGUGAACCUAUAGAAG